rnacentral:tRNA from 1 species
GUUCUUAUAGUUAAUUGAUAACGGUGGUUUUUCAAGCCAAGAGUCUGGGUUAAAGUCCCGGUAGGAAUU